AUGAAAUUAAUUGAAAGAAAGUGUAAAGACAGCUUUGUUGGAUUCACUGUUCAUCUUUGUUUCACUAUAUCCAAUUUCAACUUUUUGGACGAAAGGAGGGUCGGAAACCACUCAAAUUAAGUAGGAAGGAGAAGAAACGUGCCGGAUUUGUUGGCUUUUUCUCUCUUUUUCACUUAAUUAACACUCGCCGCAAAGCAGCAGAAAAUUGCCAUGAUUAUGGUUAGGAGGAGCUAGCUUGCACAAUGGCCUCAAUUAAAAGGUUUAGAAGAGUUAAUGGGUCUUCGGUUUCCCGCCUACGUAGUGAUAGAGGCACUAUUUUGAAUUAGUUACUUUCCAACCUACCUGAAGUCUUUGUGAUAGAUAGAGAUUGGAGAGAGAGAGAGAUGUCAAUUGUCAACAGAGCAAUCAACCAUGGCGGGUCCCCUAUUCCAUAUAGAUUGAGAUUGAUGCACCCACAGUUUAUUGCUUUACUCUCUCUUAUGCCAACCUCAAAGUCUUUGAUCAACUUUCUUUAGAGCCAAACUUCUUCAGAUAUUGGCUAUGGAGUGAAUGGAAAUGUCAUGGCCCUUCGUUCUGCUUCCCAGUUUCUCUCUCCUUCACCACCACUCGGCCAUGGCGGACAUUCCUCAUCUCAGUUAAUGGAGUUGCACCUCUGAUCCUGAAGAUCUACAAAACCCAGAACUGGUUUAAAUUCCUUAGUGUCAGUACGGCGAGGUCGGCUUGAGGAAACUUGGCCGGAAAAGUGGGAGGAAGAGAGAAAUGGACCGGCCAAAU